rfam:Hordeum vulgare subsp. vulgare, WGS project CAJW01000000 data, contig: morex_contig_1592567
GUCAUACCCCUACGUCCUAAAUUACUUGUCUUAUAUUUAUUUAGAUAUGGAUUUAUCUAGACAUGUUUUAGUGUUAGAUACAUCCGUAUCUACGUAAAACUAAGACAAGUAAUUUGGGACGGAGGGAGUAGUAG